CACCAAGGCAAAUCGAGCUAGGAAAGAGUAAAGGGAUCUGAGAAGAGAGAGGAGAAGAAAGUGCACAGAGAAGAGAAGCAUAUAACUAAAUUUAGCUCCGCAACAUUUCAGGCAGAAGCAAGGCAACUUUAACUAUUAUUUGAUGGAAGGGUUGGCGCGUUCACAAAUCAACCCGAUUCAUGCUACUUUUAGACAAUACCGCUCUAGUUUUGUUCCAGCUUUUUCCCUGCAGUUUAAAAAUAAUCUGACUAGCGGUGGAAUUUUGUUUAUGAAACCUUCUCAAUCAUGCAAUUCUAUUACUGCUUCAGUUCAACCUUUAAAAGCCUCCUCACUGGGCCACUGCAACAAUACAUUGCCAUCCAAAGAGGUUCUUGAGCUUUGGAGAAGUGCCGAUUCAGUAUGCUUUGAUGUGGAUAGCACGGUAUGCCUAGAUGAGGG
rnacentral:misc_RNA from 1 species